rnacentral:misc_RNA from 1 species
GAUGAAGAACGCAGCGAAAUGCGAUACUUGUUGUGAAUUGCAGAAUCCCGUGAACCAUCGAGUCUUUGAACGCAAGUUGCGCCCGAAGCCAUUAGGCCGAGGGCACGCCUGCCUGGGCGUCACACGUCGUUGCCCCCCCAUCUACUCCUUCGGGAUUGCGGGGGGCGGAUGAUGGCCUCCCGUGCGCCUCGCCGCGCGGUUGGCAUAAAUGCCAAGUCCUCGGCGACGCACGCCACGACAAUCGGUGGUUGCGAAACCUCGGUUGCCCGUCGUGUGCGGUCGUCGCGCAUCGAGGGCUCGAAAAAAUUGCCGGGUUCCGGCUCGGCUUUCAACGCGACCCCAGGUCAGGCGGGGUUACCCGCUGAAUUUAAGCAUAUCAAUAAGCGGAGGA